AUUGAACGCUGGCGGCAUGCCUUACACAUGCAAGUCGAACGGCAGCGCGGACUUCGGUCUGGCGGCGAGUGGCGAACGGGUGAGUAAUACAUCGGAACGUACCCUGUUGUGGGGGAUAACUAGUCAAAAGAUUAGCUAAUACCGCAUACGACCUGAGGGUGAAAGUGGGGGACCGCAAGGCCUCACGCAGCAGGAGCGGCCGAUGUCUGAUUAGCUAGUUGGUGGGGUAAAGGCCCACCAAGGCGACGAUCAGUAGCUGGUCUGAGAGGACGAUCAGCCACACUGGGACUGAGACACGGCCCAGACUCCUACGGGAGUCAGGAGGGGGGAAUUUUGGACAAUGGGGGCAACCCUGAUCCAGCAGUGCCGCGUGUGUGAAGAAGGCCUUCGGGUUGUAAAGCACUUUUGUCCGGAAAGAAAUCGCGCUGGUUAAUACCUGGCGUGGAUGACGGUACCGGAAGAAUAAGCACCGGCUAACUACGUGCCAGCCGCCGCGGUAA
rnacentral:rRNA from 1 species